rnacentral:ribozyme from 12 species
UUGUAAAAAAAAAAAAACGAGAAAAAAUGGAGAAAAGAGAAAGAAGAGAAAACUGAGAAGAAUGGAAGCACUGGUGAAUAAAAUUGCAGUUCACUGGUUUGCACCUUUUUUUA